GUACACGCUGUGACUAGCAUAUCAAUAAGCGGAGGAAAAGAAACUAACAAGGAUUCCCUCAGUAACGGCGAGUGAAGCGGGAAGAGCUCAAAUUUGAAAUCUUGAAAGGUCACCUUUCACGAGUUGUAGUUUAAAGAAGUGUUUUCUGCUGAAGUUUUGGUAAAAGUUCUUUGGAAUAGGACAUCAUAGAGGGUGAGAAUCCCGUAUUUGACCAUUAUUUUCAGCUUUGUGAUACACUUUCAAAGAGUCGGAUUGUUUGGGAAUGCAGUCCAAAAUGGGUGGUAAAUUUCAUCUAAAGCUAAAUAUUGGCGAGAGACCGAUAGCGAACAAGUACCGUGAGGGAAAGAUGAAAAGAACUUUGAAAAGAGAGUUAAACAGUACGUGAAAUUGUCAAAAGGGAAGCGUUUGACACCAGUGUUGUUUUCUCGAAAAUCAAUUAAAAAUGGCUCGAUUUUGUAUUGCUGAGACCUUAAAAGCUCACUGUACAUUUUUCGUGUCUUUUUUAAUGCACUUUUCGUUUAACAAGUCAACAUCAGUUUCUUUUGUUGUAAAAGGGUCAUUGGAAGGUGGCUUUCUUUUCGGAGAAAGUGUUUAUAGCCUUUGGCCUCUGCAAUCGGAGAGACUGAGGUCUGCAGCGUAGACUCUUCGGGGUUAGAUACAUUUGUGCUAAGUUAUAGCUUUUUAUAGACAACUUGUUGACUAUAAUUAGUCUUGUAGCUUACUCGCUUAUGCUAUUUUACCUACGCUUAGGAUGUUGAGUAGCGACAUACGCAC
rnacentral:rRNA from 1 species